UCAAGCGCGAUAAGGGCGUUUGGUGGAUGCCUUGGCAAUAAGAGGCGAUGAAGGACGUGAUACUCUGCGAUAAGCCAUGGGGAGCUGAGAAUAAGCUUUAAUCCAUGGAUCUCCGAAUGGGGAAACCCACUUGAAAUAAUCUUUAUUACGAGAUUUAUCUCAUUAUGAAGGUUAUUUAUAUCAAGUACUUUUUACCUGAAUACAUAGGGUUUAAAGAGCAAACCUAGGGAACUGAAACAUCUAAGUACCUAGAGGAAAGGAAAUCAACAGAUACUCCGCUAGUAGUGGCGAGCGAACGCGGACCAGCCAAGCCUUGAGUGUGAGCAGAAUCGGUUGGAAAACCGAGCAAUAUGGGUGACAGCCCCGUAUGCGAAGCAUGAUAGGAUGUAUUAAGUAGAACGGGACACGUGAAAUCUUGUUUGAAGAUCGGAGGACCACCUUCGAAGGCUAAGUACUACUUAUUGACCGAUAGCGAACCAGUACCGUGAGGGAAAGGUGAAAAGUACCCCGACAAGGGGAGUGAAACAGUUUCUGAAACCGGACGCCUACAAACAGUCGGAGCCUCCUUGAGAGGUGACGGCGUACCUUUUGUAUAAUGGGUCAACGACUUGGUCUGGCUAGCAAGCUUAAGCCGUUAGGUGUAGGCGUAGCGAAAGCGAGUCUUAAUAGGGCGAUUAAGUUAGUCGGAUCAGACCCGAAACCGAGUGAUCUAGGCAUGUCCAGGAUGAAGGUGCGGUAACACGCACUGGAGGUCCGAACCCACAUCUGUUGAAAAAGAUCGGGAUGAGGUGUGCCUAGGGGUGAAAGGCCAAUCAAACUCGGAGAUAGCUGGUUCUCCGCGAAAUCUAUUUAGGUAGAGCGUUAGACGAAUACCCCCGGGGGUAGAGCACUGGAUGGGUAAUGGGGCCCCACAGGCUUACUGAUCCUAACCAAACUCCGAAUACCGGGGAGUAAUAUCUAGCAGACACACAGCGGAUGCUAACGUCCGUUGUGGAAAGGGAAACAACCCUAACCUCCAGCUAAGGCCCCUAAUUCAUGGCUAAGUGGGAAAGCAGGUGAUACGACCAAAACAACCAGGAUGUUGGCUUAGAAGCAGCCAUCAUUUAAAGAAAGCGUAACAGCUCACUGGUCUAGAUAAGUUGUGUUGCGGCGAAGAUGUAACGGGGCUCAAGCCAUGAGCCGAAGCUGAGGACACUGUAAAGUGUGGUAGCGGAGCGUUCCGUGAUAUAAAUUCAUACGACUUUCAGUGCACUUUCGAGUGCGUUGAUGUCGAAUGAGUUUUUCUGUGAAGCCGGGCUGUAAGGCAUCCGGUGGAGAGAUCGGAAGUGAGAAUGUUGACAUGAGUAGCGAUAAACAGGGUGAGAGACCCUGUCGCCGAAAGUCCAAGGGUUCCUGCUUAAAGCUAAUCUGAGCAGGGUAAGCCGACCCCUAAGGCGAGGCCGAAAGGCGUAGUCGAUGGGAACCAGGUUAAUAUUCCUGGGCCAGGAGAGUGUGACGGAUCACGAGUGUAGUAAGGUCUUAUUGGAUUGAUCUUGCUGCUUAGUGGUUCCUGGAAAUAGCCCUCCAUUAAGAUCGUACCCUAAACCGACACAGGUGGACAGGUAGAGUAUACCAAGGCGCUUGAGAGAACUGUAUUGAAGGAACUCGGCAAAAUACCUCCGUAAGUUCGCGAGAAGGAGGCCCUAUGUUUAGGCAACUAGAUGUAGGGGACACAACCCAGGGGGUGGCGACUGUUUACUAAAAACACAGGGCUCUGCGAAGCCGCAAGGCGAUGUAUAGGGUCUGACGCCUGCCCGGUGCCGGAAGGUUAAGAGGAGGUGUGCAAGCACCGAAUUGAAGCCCCGGUAAACGGCGGCCGUAACUAUAACGGUCCUAAGGUAGCGAAAUUCCUUGUCGGGUAAGUUCCGAC
rnacentral:rRNA from 1 species